GUGGGGAAUAUUGGACAAUGGGCGAAAGCCUGAUCCAGCCAUGCCGCGUGUGUGAAGAAGGUCUUCGGAUUGUAAAGCACUUUAAGUUGGGGGGAAGGGCAGUAAGUUAAUACCUUGCUGUUUUGACGUUACCGACAGAAUAAGCACCGGCUAACUUCGUGCCAGCAGCCGCGGUAAUACGAAGGGUGCAAGCGUUAAUCGGAAUUACUGGGCGUAAAGCGCGCGUAGGUGGUUUUGUAAGUUGGAAGUGAAAUCCCCGGGCUCAACCUGGGAACUGCCUCCAAAACUGCAUGACUAGAGUACGGUAGAGGGUAGUGGAAUUUCCUGUGUAGCGGUGAAAUGCGUAGAUAUAGGAAGGAACACCAGUGGCGAAGGCGACUACCUGGACUGAUACUGACACUGAGGUGCGAAAGCGUGGGGAGCAAACAGGAUUAGAAACCCGUGUAGUCC
rnacentral:rRNA from 1 species